rnacentral:rRNA from 1 species
AGUGAACGCUGGCGGUAGGCCUAACACAUGCAAGUCGAACGGCAGCACAGUAAGAGCUUGCUCUUACGGGUGGCGAGUGGCGGACGGGUGAGGAAUACAUCGGAAUCUACUUUUUCGUGGGGGAUAACGUAGGGAAACUUACGCUAAUACCGCAUACGACCUACGGGUUAAAGCAGUGGAUCUUCGGACCUUGCGCGAUUGAAUGAGCCGAUGUCGGAUUAGCUAGUUGGCGUGGUAAAGGCCCACCAAGGCGACGAUCCGUAGCUGGUCUGAGAGGAUGAUCAGCCACACUGGAACUGAGACACGGUCCAGACUCCUACGGGAGGCAGCAGUGGGGAAUAUUGGACAAUGGGCGAAAGCCUGAUCCAGCAAUACCGCGUGGGUGAAGAAGGCCUUCGGGUUGUAAAGCCCUUUUGUUGGGAAAGAAAAGCAGCAGGUUAAUACCCCGCUGUUCUGACGGUACCCAAAGAAUAAGCACCGGCUAACUUCGUG